AACAUUGUAGAAGCCGCUGCUGUCAGGGGCAUAUCUGAGGCAAGCGUCUUCGACGCUUACGUGCUUCCCAAGCUCUUUGCCAAGGUGCAUGACUGCGUGAGCUGUGCCAUUCAUAGCAAGGUCGGCAGGAAUCGAUCCUGUGAAGCCCGGAAGAACGGAGCACCCCCACCACGUUUUAGACCUGCUAGUGCUGCACCACGACCUCCACCAAAGCCCAUGUAA
rnacentral:lncRNA from 1 species